GAUGAACGCUGGCGGCGUGCCUAAUACAUGCAAGUCGAGCGAACAGACGAGGAGCUUGCUCCUCUGACGUUAGCGGCGGACGGGUGAGUAACACGUGGAUAACCUACCUAUAAGACUGGGAUAACUUCGGGAAACCGGAGCUAAUACCGGAUAAUAUAUUGAACCGCAUGGUUCAAUAGUGAAAGACGGUUUUGCUGUCACUUAUAGAUGGUUCCGCGCCGCAUUAGCUAGUUGGUAAGGUAACGGCUUACCAAGGCAACGAUGCGUAGCUGACCUGAGAGGGUGAUCAGCCACACUGGAACUGAGACACGGUCCAGACUCCUACGGGAGGCAGCAGUGGGGAAUAUUCGGCAAUGGGCGAAAGCCUGACGGAGCAACGCCGCGUGAGUGAUGAAGGCCUUCGGAUCGUAAAACUCUGUUGUUAGGGAAGAAAAGAAGUGUAAGUAACUAUGGACGUCUUGACGGUACCUAAUGAAAAAGCAACGGCUAACUACGUG
rnacentral:rRNA from 1 species